AGAAAACCAUAUAUAUUAUUUUUGUUAAUGGAAGGAUUCAUUUAAGUUCUGAAAAUUAUGCAUGUAUAGAUUAAGAAGGACUGUAUAAGUGUAAUAUAUGUGAUCUGAGUAGACUUUAAAAUUCAAAGUAUAUACAGUGCUAAAUCCUGAAAACAUAGCUAUAAUCAUAGAGAGAGAGAUCGAGAUCAGAGAGGAGUGCCAUACAGCAGCCUGAAAGAGUAUUUGAUUAUCGUGAAAUAUCUGAGCUCGAGGCGGGCACAUGGCACAUGGCUCUUGAAUAACAUCCGAUGUGUCUCUCUUGUUUAUAAGAAUUUAAAACCCAUUCAAAGAUUGUGAUUUAUGCGUCCCUGGGGCUGUGAACCAGAAUGAAAGAGCCCAGGACAUUGAUGAAGACAAGGAAAGAAGACACCUGAGAAGAACCAGAAGAAUAAAAGUGACAGGUUGGAAUACAACCAUUUGGGACAUUUAUUUUUGUAGAUGAAAGUUUAUUUUACUGUAGAAAUGUAAUGAUCUUUAACUCAAUAUAUCAACAAAUGUAAACUUAUUAAGU